UACGUAGGGGGCUAGCAUUGUCCGGAAUCAUUGGGCGUAAAGAGCGUGUAGGCGGUCCGGUAAGUCCGCUGUGAAAGUCGGGGGCUCAACCCUCGAAUGCCGGUGGAUACUGUCGGGCUAGAGUACGGAAGAGGCGAGUGGAAUUCCUGGUGUAGCGGUAAAAUGCGCAGAUAUCAGGAGGAACACCUAUUGCGAAGGCAGCUCGCUGGGACGUAACUGACGCUGAGACGCGAAAGCGUGGGGAGCAAACAGG
rnacentral:rRNA from 1 species